AUUGAACGCUGGCGGCAGGCUUAACACAUGCAAGUCGAGCGGAGAUGAGGUGCUUGCACCUUAUCUUAGCGGCGGACGGGUGAGUAAUGCUUAGGAAUCUGCCUAUUAGUGGGGGACGACAUUCCGAAAGGAAUGCUAAUACCGCAUACGUCCUACGGGAGAAAGCAGGGGAUCUUCGGACCUUGCGCUAAUAGAUGAGCCUAAGUCGGAUUAGCCAGUUGGUGGGGUAAAGGCCUACCAGGGCGACGAUCUGUAGCGGGUCUGAGAGGAUGAUCCGCCACACUGGGACUGAGACACGGCCCAGACUCCUACGGGAGGCAGCAGUGGGGAAUAUUGGACAAUGGGGGGAACCCUGAUCCAGCCAUGCCGCGUGUGUGAAGAAGGCCUUAUGGUUGUAAAGCACUUUAAGCGAGGAGGAGGCUACUGAGACUAAUACUCUUGGAUAGUGGACGUUACUCGCAGAAUAAGCACCGGCUAACUCUGUGCCAGCCGCCGCUGUAACAC
rnacentral:rRNA from 1 species